AUGGUGUGCUGGAAUGUGAGAGGGCUCAACAGCCCAGCCAAGAAGGAUGCGCUAAGGGAGCUUGUCAACUCGAUGAAUGUAGCUAUCUGGUGUAUCUUGGAGACAAAACUCGUCCAUGUAGAUAGAUAUGUUAUCAUGCGAUGCUUGGGGCCGGCUUAUGAUGGUUUCGCGUAUCUCCCUGCGUCGGAUACCUGUGGUGGCAUUUUCAUUGCUUGGGACUCCUCGAGGGUGUCGAUAUCUAACACAGUGCUGGAUACUAACUUCAUGACUGGCUAUGUUUCCCCAAGGGAGGGACAACCUUGA
rnacentral:rRNA from 1 species